GACAGCGUGUCCGAGUGAUUAAGGAGGUAGACUUGAAAUCCACUGGGCUCAGCCCGCGCGGGUUCGAAUCCUGCCGUUGUCG
rnacentral:tRNA from 1 species